CUGAUCCUGCCCACGGUUCCAGUCAUCUAGCUUACCUUUGUUCCUGCUAUUGCCAGUCUCUAAAUUUUUCCUAACUGUCUCUUCUUCGGCUUUUCAGCUCCUCUACCACGAGGGUGACCAAGAAUCAACCAUGGUUCAGCAAGGUCCUCUGGCUCUGAUCUUUUACAAGGCUGCAAUCAAGGUGUGGACCAGCAUCAUAGAGGGACCAUGCAAAUGAGGAC